AGGUCUAAAGCUUAAUAUAGAUCAAGUCAGCUUAACAUCUAUCUACUUCCUGGAUAUACAACUAAAUUUUACUAAUGCAGUACAAAUACCAAAGUUUAUAAAAAACCAACUUAUGUUUCUAUGAUUAUCCCAUCUGGUCAGCUGACCAUCAGAUUGAUUACAAGUGGGCUGCAUUUAGAUUGUAUUCUAAAUGUGUAAUAAUGCAUUAGCCCAUGAACCAAGCCAAGAAUGAAGAGUUCAACAGGAUUAUAAAAUUAAGGAAAGGCCUAUGGAUAUAAUUUUAAGUUUAUGAAGGCAAUUUAUGAUAAAAUAAUGAAAACAGAAUAUAUUAAUAAUCUGAGUAUACAAGUAGAGCAACCAUGUAUACCCCAGCAACAAGGUCACCUCCAGAGUGAACAAACAUUUAAAUAUGUACAAAUGCCAUCAGUAAGCAGGGGAAUAUGUGUCAUAAAUAGGCUAGCAAAGAAUUGGGAACUAAAGCUAGCAUACAGAAGGAAUGCUACUGUCUUCCAACAUUUAUGGAAUGAUAAGGAUCCCCUACUCUCUCAAUCAAAGAGCUGGGAUUUAUGUUUUAUCAAUAUACAAUGAAGAUCUUAAUAGUCAAGAGGAGGAUGUACAGUCUAUGACAAAAAGGUUUUGACAUCAGCGGAAAAGGUUCGGCUUUCGUACAA
rnacentral:lncRNA from 1 species